UACGUAGGUGGCAAGCGUUGUCCGGAUUUACUGGGCGUAAAGGGCGUGCAGGCGGUUUGUUAAGUGCAGGGUGAAAGACCCCGGCUCAACUGGGGAGUGUCGUGCGAUACGGGCGGACUGGAGGCCAGUAGGGGGAUGCGGAAUUCCGGGUGUAGUGGUGGAAUGUGUAGAGAUCCGGAGGAACACCAGCGGCGAAGGCGGCAUCCUGGACUGGUCCUGACACUCAGGAGCGAAAGCGUGGGGAGCGAUCCGG
rnacentral:rRNA from 1 species